GAUGAACGCUGGCGGCGUGCCUAAUACAUGCAAGUCGAGCGAACAGACGAGGAGCUUGCUCCUCUGACGUUAGCGGCGGACGGGUGAGUAACACGUGGAUAACCUACCUAUAAGACUGGGAUAACUUCGGGAAACCGGAGCUAAUACCGGAGAAUAUAUUGAACCGCAUGGUUCAAUAGUGAAAGACGGUUUUGCUGUCACUUAUAGAUGGAUCCGCGCCGCAUUAGCUAGUUGGUAAGGUAACGGCCUACCAAGGCAACGAUGCGUAGCCGACCUGAGAGGGUGAUCGGCCACACUGGAACUGAGACACGGUCCAGACUCCUACGGGAGGCAGCAGUAGGGAAUCUUCCGCAAUGGGCGAAAGCCUGACGGAGCAACGCCGCGUGAGUGAUGAAGGUCUUCGGAUCGUAAAACUCUGUUAUUAGGGAAGAACAAAUGUGUAAGUAACUAUGCACGUCUUGACGGUACCUAAUCAGAAAGCCACGGCUAACUACGUG
rnacentral:rRNA from 1 species